AGGCCGUUAAAAAUUGGUCAAUCUAAUUUUUAACAGCGUUUAACAGACGCUAUUAUUUUUCUAAAAAGUAAUUAAGUGUAAAAUGAAGUCAGUUGCAUAUCCAAAGUUAGAAAAACAAGCAAAAAUAAUUAAAACAAUCAAGAGUCCAUCUGAGAAACAUUUAACUCUUUAUUCAACGAAGGAACGAAUAGAUAAACAACAUUUAUUUACAAGGCGUCAUAAUGUUGCUAAUCUUUUGGAGGCAAAAGAAUCGAGAGAAAAUAACCAAACAAACACUAACAUUACUAAUAAAUCGUUAAUGAUGUUAAAACAAGAAAUAAAUGGAUGGAAGAAGCAAAAAACAUUAUCAAAACAAGUUGAAAAUAAACUUUAUCACAGAAGAAUAGAAUCAGCGACAUCAAAUAUUCCAGAAGAAUCAAUUCAUCACACGUCUCCAGUUUUUUCAGUUCACCAUUCGAAUGAGACCGAAGUCAAUUCAUCUUAUUUGAACGAGAGAGCUAGGAAGGAUGUUGGAAAUACAAUCAUAAGCAGCUCUACUCAAGCCCAUAAUAGAGACGAACAAAUGGAAGAAAAUAUGAUUACUCGUGAAUAUUAUUCAGAUCUUCAUUCUCCAGAAGAAUGUUCAAAAAGUCUAAAUAACAGUUCAGAUACUUGGGAAGCUCUUGAAAAUGCUGAAAAACUUUUACAAAAAGCAAGAAAAAAUAUCAUGAAGUCAACUUAUGAUGUUCCUUGGCUUGAUUUAACUUUAAAUCGAGCUUCUUCUUCAGACUUAGAUGAAAUUGAUUCCAAAGUUCGACAACGAGUAAUUACUAAACUUCAAGAAGUAAAUAAGCCAAAAUUAUGUGAAAAGCAAAUUUUUUUCAGUGAGGAUCAAAAUGUUUUAUCGUCAGAAAGUCCAAAAGAUAAAAAUGUUAUUUCUGGAAGGCAAAUGGAGAUAAACAAAACAUAUCAAUCUUCAGUAAAAUUAGUUGAAACAUGUAGAAAAUGUUCAGAAGAAAAGAUAAGAAAUAAAUUGAACGAGAAAUGUAAGUUAGAAGCUUUAAAACAAGUCAAAAAUGGGAAAGUUGAAACUAGGACUAGUACAGAAACUAUUAAUAGUAACAGCAGUACCAGAAACAAGAAAACUCAACUACCAGUUAGAAAUAUUAAAAAAUGUAGUUUAAUAUCAAAUUCAUGUGAUAAUUUUACAAAAAAAAAAGUCAAAACUUUGAGAGCUUCUUCAGUACGAAAUGAAUCUUCGAAACAAAAAAAAUAUGAUGAGAUACUGAUUGAUAAAGCAGUUCAAACAAGUUUUAAAGACCAGGUUAUAGAAGAGACUGCUUCUUUACUAAAAGAUAGAGAACAGAAUCAGUUAAGAGAACUUACAGAUAAAGAAGAAACACGUCCACUUAAAAUGUUGAAUAGUCCAAAAAAUUCAGAAGAAUUUCAAAUAAUUAUGAAAAAUGAUCAUGAAACCAAAACACGUGAUAAUGACAUUUCCAAUGUGAAGAAUGUAAAGGAAGGAGAAUUGAAGGAAAAUUUUGUCAAGUUUUUAUGCCAAAUAAGCAACGAAUUUGAGAAUCCUGUUGAGAUUCUUUCAAAUUCACCAAAAAAUUUAAAUGCAUACAAAAAUAGUGAAAUUUCUGAUAAUAAAUCAUGGUAUGAAGAGUUUUGUAAUGAAUGGGAGACUGAAGAAAUAGAUUUAUAUUCACCGAAUCUAGUAAAUUUGGAUAAAAUAUUAUGCAAUUUAGAUAAAAAUAUGGAAAAAAUAAUCGAAGAUACUAAUAAAUUAGAAACUUUAUUUACUGAAGCUAAAAGUUACAAUAAACCUGAUGAGACUGCUAAUAAAAUAGACAACAGAGAUAAUAUAAAUGAUGAAUCAUUCCUACUAGAUGAAAGAUCAAUCAAUUUACAUGAACAAGUUAAUUUCACUGAUACAUUACCAAAGAACCCUAUUAAUCUUAGAAAUAAUCAUGAAAAUGAAUUAUCAGAUGGAUCAGACAGAAGUAAAACAUCUGAUGAGAUGAAAUUUAUUUUAGAACCAAAAUCUCGAAUUUCAAGUUACGAAAGUGUUUCCAGUGAUGUUUUUUAUCAACAAGCUAGAUUUUCAACUCCAUUAAAUAAUUAUAAAAAUAUUGAAGUCUCUCAUCAUCAUCAUGUUAAUAAAAAAAAUGUUGAUAUUAAUUGUUGUGAUCAUAAAAAGCAUUCCAUCACCGAACAGAAAAGUAAUGUAGACGUUAAUAUUGAUGUAAAAAAUGAUGUGAACGUUUUUAUUACACGUAAUCAACUGUCAUCAAUCUCAUGUGAAGAAAAAAAUUCAGAACUAACUAAAGAAAAAAUAGUUGAUAGUCAGAAGGAAAAAAAUAAGGAUUUGAAAUCUACUUUAGUUGAAAAGUUUAAUGAAAAAUCUGAUUGCUCAAAUAUUUCUGAAAAUAAUGAUACUGAUGAUCAACAGCAUAAUAUUAUUUCCAAUUCUGUUGAACACUUAUCUUCAAACUCACCAAUUAACAGCCAUCAUGUUAGUAUAAGUAAUAAUAAUAAAAAAAGCAAUCCAAUGAAUGAAAUAGCUGAAAAACAUCAUCAAGAACAAUCGGAAAAAUCGGUAGCUGAUGAUAAAAUAACAAAACACGAUCAUUCAUCGGAAGGUAGUGAUAGUGAGAUGGCAAAGGGAAAAAAUGAAGCAGAUGAAAACAAUCUUAGAAUAAAUAAAGUCGAACGAAAUAACAAAUUAACACCUGCAUCAUCAAAGAAUGAUACUCAUAACCGUACUUCUUAUGAUAUAUCAGCUAUCUAUUCAGAAAAUUUCGAAGAUUCAGUAACCGAAAUUAAGAGUAUACUGAAAGAACAUGAUACAGAUAAAAGUAAAAGUUAUUCAUCAGAAAAAAAGAUAGAAAGGAAUAAUAAUGAUAAUAUUGAAAACAGGACUUUAACUGAGAAUGAAAGUGAAAAAAUACUUUCUUAUAAUAUUAAAAAUACAAAUAUAGAUUUAGAAAUAAAUGAAAUGAGCAAAUCAAUUUCUCUUCACGUGAAAAUAGAUGAAAAUCCUUCAAAUAAAUUUGAACCCAAAAGUUCACUCGCUGAUACUAGUGAUAAAUCACUUGAAAAAAAUAACAAUGACAUGGAAGAUAAAUUAUUUUCAUCUACAUCAAUUUCUCGUUCUUCUUCAAGAAAGUCAAUAUCAAGUUCUAUCUCAAAUAGCAAAAAAUUAAAAAUAAAUAAAAUAGGAUUGUCUAGUUCUGAAGAUUUUUCAGAAGGGGAAAUUCAUGUACCGGAGUCCUGUUCAUAUUCUAUUGGUGAAAUAAAAAUUCCUAAAUCUCAACUUGAAGAAUUAACAAAGUAUAAUGAAAUAUUGUUUCGUGAAAAUCUUCAUUCAAGUUCUGGUUCAUAUUCUUUUGGUGAAAUUCGAAUUCCAGAAUCUUCGAAACAAUUAAAGAAAAAAAAUAGCUCUCAAACGCAAAGUUGCGGAGAAAUAUUGGAUACAGAUGUAGAAUUGACUUCAAGUCUCGAAUCGCCAGGCGAAAUUAAAUGAUUGAAAUAUAUUAUAUUAAAAUAACAGAAGGAUGAUAAAAACAUUGUAUAAAAAAAACACUUAUCUGACUUUAGUUCUGUGUCCGGCUUUUAUUUAAUAUGUAUAUAAAUAAGUUUUCCAUCUAAAAUAUAUAUUUACGAGAUAUAACACCUACCUUACGCCUUUGUAUAUCUAAGAUAUAAAGUAGUAUUUUAGUUUUGGCACAAGAGCGACACAACGUAUAUAAUACGACGUAAUGAGAUUUAUGAGUUGUACAGGUGGUUGCACGUGAUAUAAACUCAAGUUUUUAUAAAACUAUAAUUUAAGGUCAUCAAAUAUGAAACUAGUCAAGUUUUACAAAAAUAUACAAUAGAUAGUUAUGAUAUUUAAUUAAACAAGUGAGAUCAUUGUUACAUAGAUAAU
rnacentral:misc_RNA from 1 species